rnacentral:misc_RNA from 1 species
GAUGAAGAACGUAGCAAAAUGCGAUAAGUAAUGUGAAUUGCAGAAUUCAGUGAAUCAUCGAAUCUUUGAACGCACAUUGCGCCCGCCAGUAUUCUGGCGGGCAUGCCUGUUCGAGCGUCAUUUCAACCAUCAAGCCCCCGGGCUUGUGUUGGGGACCUGCGGCUGCCCGCAGGCCCUGAAAACCAGUGGCGGGCUCGCUGUCACACCGAGCGUAGUAGCAUCAUCUCGCUCAGGGCGUGCUGCGGGUUCCGGCCGUUAAAAAGCCUCUAAUACCCAAGGUUGACCUCGGAUCAGGUAGGAAGACCCGCUGAACUUAAGCAUAUCAAUAAGCGGAGGA